rnacentral:rRNA from 6 species
UCGUGUGUCGAUGAAGAACGCAGCUAGCUGCGNUAUGUUAUGCGACUUGCNGAAGACAUUGAGCAUAAAGAUUUCGAACGCACAUUGCGCCAUUGGGUUCUUCCCUUUGGCACGCCUGGUUGAGGGUCGA